AAAUAAAUAAAUAGGAACGUAUAUUUUACACUACCGACCGUCUCGAGCGCAACUGACAAAAAGAUUUGAUGGUUGGUAUCCGAGAUCCAAGAUUAAAUUCUAGUUGAUUCAUAUUUCCAACUAAAUUUAUUUUUAAAUAAAAUAAACGAAGCGGGCAGCAUGCUGCCUUUCUCUAAAAAAAAACGUACAUUUUACACUUAUUUGAUUCAAAAGUUUAUAAAACCGUUUGGAUAUUUUAGUAUUUGAAAAAACAAUGGUCUAAAUCUCUUAAUUAGGCUGUAUUUGGUUUGAGAACUAAAUUUUGAAAAAUAAUUUUUUUUGUUCUUGACAAUAAGAAAUAUUCCGAUAUAAGUUAUAACAAGUUAUAAAUUGCAUUUAAAUAUUAUUUAUUUAUUUAUAGAGAAUAUUUUUGAUAGUGUUUUAAUGUUUAUAUUGAAAAUAGGUGUUUAUGUUUAUGUUGGAAGGCGAACGGAUUGUUCCUGAAACAAUC
rnacentral:lncRNA from 1 species